rnacentral:lncRNA from 1 species
AUUCACAUGGCAUUGUUUUAUUAUGUUUAUCUGUUAGAGACUGUUUGGUUGCAUACAUUUUUAAUUGCACUGUAGUUGUAAAUUUAUAUAUUUAUUAAAUUUUUAUUUGGUUUAGUGUAGUUAGGUCCAACUGUUGUAGUUGAAUCUGCACGAAAAUACCCAACUGCAGCUGUUGGGCCGGAGACGGCUCAUCCAUUAAAAAAAAUAAAUAAAGUGUGAUUUUUUUUUCAUACGUUUUUCUUUUCUUUUUCCUUUACAAGAAUACCUAUUCAUGAAACCUUCUACGAUUAAAUAUUGUCUGUUAGAAUCAAUAAAAUUUUUUCAUACGCUUAUUUUUUUUCCAGUAUGCUAGUUUAAUAAUCUCUUAAUUUUUGUUGACCAAAUCUAUAAUAUAUGUGCAUUUAAAAUUCAUUAAAUUCAUACAUAAUUUUAUAAUAUAUAAAUUAUAUAUAGAUAUAAAAGUCUUAAUUAAAGCUAUAAGUUUCUCUUUUUUCUCUAGCAAAUAAUUUUUUUCUAUUAAUAUUUUUAUAUCAUUCUACAUCUUUUCGUUCUAAGUAAAUAUUAUGAAAUUAUCUCAAUAUUAUCUACUAAUAUUUGGUUAUUAUAUUAAUAUUUUAUUAAUUACAACAAAUAAUCAAAUUUGAUCAAUUUAAUAUCAAAUAUAUAUUUAAAUUUUAAUCUUAUAAAAUUUAAAUUUUUAUUUCAUCUUAAAUUUAGAAUUGAAAUUUAAUUAUAUGAUUUCAAUUUACAUUUAUGAAAUUUAAAUUAAAAUUAAAAUUUAAUUUUAAAUAAUAAUUAAAUUUAAUUUUGGAUAUCAAAUUUGAAUUUACAGUCACAAAUUUUAAGUAAAUUAGAUCAAAUUUAAAUUUAAAUUUGAAUUAAAUGUGAAUUAAAUUUUUAUACUUUAGUUUAAAACGCGUACUUAAAUUUUAAAUUCAUAAAAAUUUGAAAAAUAUGUAAAAAUAUUGGCCUUUUUGCAUAAAAAAUCCACUUAUUUUGGGCUUUUGCAAAAUCGGGUCACUUUUUUCGUUUUUGCAGAUUCGGUCCGUUUUUUUAGUAAACUGACCAAAAUACUCUUAGGGCCCGUUUGGUUCGAGUUAUGUAAUAUUACAAAGUAUCUCGACAUAUCUAGGUAUUUUGGAUUUCGGCGUGAGAUUACUACUGAUGCUGCAUUAGCGUGUUUGGUUUAAUGCAGUAAUAUAAUACUAGAUUACAGUGUUUAUAGCAUUAAUACGUUUGGUUCAGUUUAUAAAAUUUAGUAAUCCUGACAUAAGAGUAUAGUUUUUUCCAAAAUUGCCUUUGUUGUGGUCAUUUGAAUAUUAGUUUUUACGGAAAUGACGAAUGGAGGGAAGGAGAUCGUGAUGCAUGAUUACCUGGAAGGACGACGCAAUAGAAGAUGAUAGGUGUUCGUGCGCGCGAGAGAGAGAGAGAGAGAGAGAGAGAGAGAAAGUGGCAUGAGAGAGAGAGAGGGAGGAAGGCGAGAGAGAGAUGAAAAUAAUAUUGUUAAUUAGAUUUGGGGUUGUUGGAGGGUAAAAUUGUCAUUUUACAUAAUAUAUAGUAUUAACGGGUUUCAGUAAUGCAAGAUACAUGACCCCCCCUCCUGUUAAUAUUUUCGAUGUAAUCCUGCUCGAUUUGUAAUGCUACAUUAACGAUUAGAUUACAUAGCCGAUUAACCAAACACAGUUAUCCUGAUAGAAUUGCCUGUAAUCCUGCCAGGAUAACUCGAACCAAACGCACCCUUAUUACUUUUUCUCUUUCCUCUUUCUCUCUCCUCUUUGUUUCUUCCGUUAUUUUUUUUUUUUUCGUUCU